AUUGAACGCUGGCGGCACGCCUAACACAUGCAAGUCGAGCGGUAGCAUGAGUAGUAGCAAUACUACUUGAUGACGAGCGGCGGACGGGUGAGGAACACGUAGGAACUUGCCUUUUAGAGGGGGAUAACUAAGGGAAACUUUAGCUAAUACCGCGUAAUCUCGAGAGAGUAAAGCUGCCCGCAAGGGUGGCGCUAAAAGAGAGGCCUGCGUCCGAUUAGCUAGUUGGUGAGGUAAUGGCUCACCAAGGCGAUGAUCGGUAACUGGUCUGAGAGGACGACCAGUCACACUGGGACUGAGACACGGCCCAGACUCCUACGGGAGGCAGCAGUGGGGAAUAUUGGACAAUGGGGGCAACCCUGAUCCAGCGAUGCCGCGUGAGUGAAGAAGGCCCUCGGGUCGUAAAGCUCUUUAGGUUGGGAAGAAGGACGUUAGGUUAAUACCCUGAUGUUUUGACGGUACCGACAGAAUAAGCACCGGCAAACUCUGUGCCAGCCGCCGCAGAA
rnacentral:rRNA from 1 species